AGAAAUUUAGGAUAAUCCUUUAAACCAAAGGCCUUCAAAGCCUUAAAUAAGAGUUGAACUCUCUCAGUUUCUG
rnacentral:tRNA from 1 species